rnacentral:rRNA from 1 species
UGGCGGACGGGUGAGUAAUGUCUGGGAAACUGCCUGAUGGAGGGGGAUAACACUGGAAACGGUAGCUAAUACCGCAUAACGUCGCAAGACCAAAGAGGGGGACCUUCGGGCCUCUUGCCAUCGGAUGUGCCCAGAUGGGAUUAGCUAGUAGGUGGGGUAACGGCUCACCUAGGCGACGAUCCCUAGCUGGUCUGAGAGGAUGACCAGCCACACUGGAACUGAGACACGGUCCAG